rnacentral:tRNA from 1 species
CGGGGUUUGGCGCAGUUUGGUAGCGCACUUGGUUUGGGACCAAGGGGCCACAGGUUCGAAUCCUGUAACCCCGACCA